UCACCACACUGAGGUUAACUGGAACUCCAGGCUCAGGUAUUGGAAGGGUAUGAAGUGUAACAAGAAGCUCUUGCCAAUGACUGACCUGAAAUCCACAUAACGGAGAGGACGCAACACCAACGCAAUCCCAGAGGAGGUCGGGCUUGAAGUAGAGGAGCCCAGAUCCCCCAGAGUGCACUGGCCCUGAAACCCCCCAGCACAGGAGAGGAAGGUCACUAGGACCCAGGGGAGAUGUGGAGAGCCGAGCCACCGAGCAUUCUGUUCUUUGUACAGGAGGCCCGCCCAAGAUGCCCUCACAAGCCCAUUUCAUCUCUACAUUUGGGGCAAAACUAAUCUCGGAUCCAGCAGUGCCUUCAUGUGAGAGCUGAAUAUCUCCGGGAGGAGACAGCACAGAGAGUGUCCCUGAAACCAGAAACUGCAAGGAGCGAACAGAUGCGUUUCCUGUUUCGCUGCAUUCUACAUGAAGAAAACCAAUUAGCGGUGGUGGAUGAAGCUUUCAGAAGGGGAUUUUAAGAAGAGCAUUUUUACAAUGGCCAGCCAACAUGCAUUGCUUUGACACAUUUAUUUACAGUUUGCCACUGCAGGCCCCACGCUAUGGGGAGGCAUGAGGGGGCCUGACCGGCUCUACAAGACCCCUGGGGUCCAUACAGGAAGGCCAGCCCACUUCCAGUUUUCGAUUGUUUCAUUACAAUGUGAUUUGUUUAAUCAUUCUGAAUAAUCAGGCAAUAGUCUAUGCCUAGGAUGACGGGCUGAACGUCUGGAGCAAUGGCUGGGAUUCCAGUCAAACAAACUCAUAAAAGGGCCUAACCCAGAAGGAAUUGAAAUAUGUAGCUUUAUACCUUUGUGAAUUUAAUGGAGGAUGGUCUGUAUUUGGUGUCUUUCCCUACAUUUUUGCGGUCAAUCUUUUCAAUAAAACACAUUUUCAGAGGAUA